rnacentral:lncRNA from 1 species
AGGUUAAAUACAUAGAAGGAUAAUGAUAACCAAUGCUACUGAAUACCAGUUCUUAAAAUAGUUUUUAAAAGCGAGACAGUAGGGUAUAUGAGCUUCUUUAUUAAUGCAUUAAAGACAGCAUAGUUGCUGGUUUAAAACCACCACGAUUUCUGGAUUUUUUUUUUUUAAGCAAGCGAAGUCUUUAUGACAGGAAAGCAACAGCUCCCAGGACAGCUGGGAGGCGGAAGAAGAGCCCUCCCCACCCCACAUUGUCCUAUAGGGGUUUUUCUCCCUUACGGGAGGGGAGUACCAACGUGGAGUCCAGAAAGAUGUGAUAGAGACACCAUAAUUUCUGAGGAAUGAAGAGUGCUAGGAAUAUUUCGAGAUACCUGCAACGGUUUUAAUAGAGUGGAGAAAUAGCUAUGAACUAAAGAUCGAAAUUGACCUGGUCUCAGCUCCUGGGCUUCCUGAAUUGUCUCCAUAGACCCUAAGGGGUCAUGAGCUCCAGGCCAGGGACCUCGGGUAUCCACUGCUUCUCCGUGAACAUUUGCUACUCUUCUCUGGGAUACAGAUUCCCCUUGAACUUCUGCUGAAAACUAGCGACUCCCUUUCUUGGGGGACAAUAGAUGCCUAUCCGUGUGCGUGGACGCAUUGUUUGCUGGACAAUUGCAGGUGGUCCCCAGACCCUCGGAAGCCCUCCUCGGACCCCAGAAUCAGGAACCCCUCUCUCUAAACAGGUGUCAGAGUCCUUAUCCUCUCAGAAGCCUCCUUCCAUAGGAAAAUUACCGUGAGGUCACCCCAGCAGACACAGGACUUUGAAAAAGAAAGAGCAGUGAGGAAAUUUGACCGACCAGGAAUUCCCGGCAUGGCUCAGCGGUUAACCCAUUUGACUAGCAUCCACGAGGACGCAGGUUCGAUCCCUGGCCUUGCUCAUCGGGUUCUUAACCCACUGAGCCACAAGGGAACUCCUCAUCCUGCAUUUCUAUCCACUGAAUCUGGCAGCCCUAUGAGCCCCGCUGGGAAGUACUC